UAGACAUCUAAAUGUAGAGACCGAGAAGGCAUCCGUCUCCUAUCCCGACCAGUGGUGUUGUGUGACAGAACAACACGUCGCUUUGACCGCACCAUGUUUGUUUUUCUCCGGGUCUUGGCCUGUCUCUCCUGCCGGGCCAACAACCUCAGCAGCAUGCCAGGAGCCCACCUUCUGUCUGGACCACUUGGCUCCUCCACAAUUGGAACAACAGAGCCAACCAGAGGAAAUGACAGGCGGAUCACAAGAGGGCUCCCUCACUCCCCCUCUCACUGCCUGCUGGGGGUGGAAAAAGGAUGUGUCUGUGCGUGUGAUGGGACACUAGCUUUCACUUAUGAAAACUCAACACCAAAGUUUGAUCUAGUGGAGGUUCAGUGCUUCGAUCCCACCCCCUGCAGUCAACAUGUCAAAGUGUCCUUGGGCAAGAUAUCCUGAAUUGGUCCCGUAAGCAUGUCUACGGCUUAUAAGGGUGAGACGUUUUUGGAUCAAAGGUCAAAUAGUAUGUAUUGUAAUAUCUCAUAUUAGAUACUCAGGCAACCAGGCUACUUUUUUUUUUAAAGUUCAAAGGUAUUCAAAUUAUGUUACAAGCAAAUCAAUGCAAUCUUUAGAGCCAGGAUGAUAUUCAGAAGAAGUCCUUUACAUCCAAUUUAUGGGUGUGGAAGUAUGAUUUUUUUGGGUCCACAGAGCAAUAAAA